rnacentral:rRNA from 1 species
GACGAACGCUGGCGGCGUGCCUAAUACAUGCAAGUCGAACGCAGUGGGGCCGGGUGCGUAACACGUGGGUAACCUCCCCUCCAAGGGGGUAACCCUUGGAAACAGGUGCUAAACCGCUACUGCUGGAUGUACCCGCGGUGCAUUAGCUAGUUGGUGAGGUCGCUGCUCACCAAGGCCACGAUGCAUAGCCGGCCUGAGAGGGUGAUCAGCCACACUGGGACUGAGACACGGUCCAGACUCCUACGGGAGGCAGCAGUAGGGAAUCUUUGGCAAUGGACGAAAGUCUGACCGAGCAAUGCCGCGUGAGUGAAGAAGGUUUUCGGAUCGUAAAGCUCUUUUGGUAGAGAAGCGUUACCUAACCAGAAAGCAACGGCUAACUACGUGCCAGCAGCCGCGGUAAUAC